AUGGAACCUCAGUCGUCAUUUGAUUGGAUACGUUUCAAAAUAAAUAAGUGGCGUGAUUUGACUGUAAGACCCAGAGACCCAGCAUGGCAGGAGAUGGUAUCUCAGUAUAAGGAGUCAAUCAAACGGAAAUAUGAACAUAGGAAUGAGAGCAGUUUCUCCUCUGGUGAAAGAGUCUCACUGGCUGCCCUCUACACUGAACCUGUGAUUAUUCAGAAAAAUGAAAAAGGCGGUUUUCAGAAUAUCAGUGUGGAGGAGUUGUUAAUAAGUUAGACAUACAUCUGUAUUAUCCAUCAUCUGUCAUUCUUACGGUUUCUCCUCUGGUGAAAGAGUCUCACUGGCUGCCCUCUACACUGAACCUGUGAUUAUUCAGAAAAAUGAAAAAGGCGGUUUUCAGAAUAUCAGUGUGGAGGAGUUGUUUAAUAAGUUAGACAUACAUCUGUAUUAUCCAGCAUCUGUCAUUCUUCAAGGAAAUUCUGGUAGUGGAAAAUCAUUCAUAUCUCAAAAGAUUAUAUUGGACUGGGCAUCUGGAAAUCCUUACCUUAGACACUUUAAUCUGGCUUUCUACCUGAGCUGUGAAGAGC
rnacentral:lncRNA from 1 species